AAACUAGUUUCACGGUAUCCGACGCAUGGUUCGCACGCGUUCUUCGCGGCUCUCCUUUCUUAGGAUUUAAUUCGGUUAAUCGCUCUAUAUUCGGCGUACAUGUUUAGUGAAAGAUGUCUAGUGUGUCUGGCUAAUAAUUUAUCGUGUAUAAUAUAUUCGCGGAAUGUAAAUACUCGUAUAGUGCAUGUAUUUGAUCGUGCGGGUUGUGCCGUCGGUGAUCGAUCAUGGAUUUUGGAUUUGCAUCAACCUCUUCGUUCAGCGUGGAAUUUUACCAACACUAAUGUUGCACAUACCUAUUAGCCGUGGCUUGGAGUCCCAUGAGUUUUGCAUUGUUACAGCAUUCGUUGUGCCCGGCAGUCCGAUAAGCCGUACACUG